rnacentral:rRNA from 1 species
AACGAACGCUGGCGGCAGGCCUAACACAUGCAAGUCGAACGGGAUCUUCGGAUCUAGUGGCGGACGGGUGAGUAACGCGUGGGAACGUACCCUUUGGUUCGGAAUAGCCCUGGGAAACUGGGAGUAAUACCGGAUACGGUCGAGAGACGAAAGAUUUAUCGCCGAAGGAUCGGCCCGCGUUGGAUUAGGUAGUUGGUGGGGUAAUGGCCUACCAAGCCGACGAUCCAUAGCUGGUUGGAGAGGAUGAUCAGCCACACUGGGACUGAGACACGGCCCAGACUCCUACGGGAGGCAGCAGUGGGGAAUCUUAGACAAUGGGGGAAACCCUGAUCUAGCCAUGCCGCGUGAGCGAUGAAGGCCUUAGGGUUGUAAAGCUCUUUCAGUGGGGAAGAUAAUGACGGUACCCACAGAAGAAGCCCCGGCUAACUCCGUGCCAGCCGCCGCCGUAA